rnacentral:rRNA from 1 species
GACGGGGGGGGCAAGUGUUCUUCGGAAUGACUGGGCGUAAAGGGCGCGUAGGCGGCAAAUUAAGUCAGCUGUGAAAUCUCCGAGCUUAACUCGGAACUGUCAGCUGAUACUGAUCUGCUAGAGUGCGGAAGGGGCAAUCGGAAUUCUUGGUGUAGCGGUGAAAUGCGUAGAUAUCAAGAGGAACACCUGAGGUGAAGACGGGUUGCUGGGCCGACACUGACGCUGAGUGCGCGAAAGCCAGGGGAGCAAACGGG